rnacentral:rRNA from 1 species
CACGUAGGGCGCAAGCGUUGUCCGGAAUUAUUGGGCGUAAAGAGCUCGUAGGCGGUCUGUUGCGUCCGCUGUGAAAACUCGGGGCUUAACCCCGAGCCUGCAGUGGAUACGGGCAGACUAGAGGUAGGUAGGGGAGAAUGGAAUUCCCGGUGUAGCGGUGAAAUGCGUAGAUAUCUGGAGGAACACCGGUGGCGAAGGCGGCAUCCUGGACCACGACUGACGCUGAGUGAGCGAAAGCCAGGGGAGCAAACGGG